rnacentral:lncRNA from 1 species
UAGGAUAGUGUGAUAGGUGAUAGUGAUGUAAACGUAGAUGAUGUAUCUGGUCAUGUAAAUCCUCUGAGGAUAGCUUUUUAUUCUGUAAUGUGGGUAUUCGUAACAUGCUGUAAUGAAACUUUCAUUUUUUCGUUCAUACCCGAACUGUUCCUUCUUUAUUAUGAAUGAGGUGUUGAGACUGCUUUCUUCGUGGUUUUUUCUGAGAAAUCUGCGAUAUUGUUUUUUCCGUCUUGCCUUUUAAUUGAUCAGACCCAGAAUCCAUUUAGCUAGUCUGAGU